UAUCAGCAAGAAUCAUGUCAAUUUCCCAGAGUGGUUGAAGAAAUGUUUGCAUCUUAAGUGCAAAUGGGUCCAUAUCUAAUGUGACACUUCGACAACCUGCAUCGUCUGGUGGAACUCUGACUUACGAGGGGUGGAGUCGCAGGUCUUUUGGUGGUUGCUUCCCCUGUUCAGAUUGUUUUGGCUAGUUUUGUUUCCGAUGGAAAGCAAUCCAAGUCUGCAAAGCGGAUGAGGAAUGUAUCUGCACCGGCGGCGGCCAAAGCAGCUCACCGUCAAGGGGCACUCUUAGUGAGUCUUCAGGUGGGGUCGGGAGUGGGAGCCCACUGAACAAAAGCACAAGAGACUGCAUCAACAAUAUGAACAACAACACCCCAACGACUAUUGUUCAUAUUAAUAAUUAUUAUGUUAACUUUUGAUACAAAUUAAGCUCCGAAGGAAAUAAGUAGCAAAUCAAUUUAUCUGGAGUUUCCCAUCAUUGUUAUGAUCUAGUUUUGGCUGCUUGAA